UCACCUGUAAAAUCGAGAUAAAUAACUGUGCCUACCACAUAUGGUUGUAAGGACUGAAUGAGUUUGCUUUUUUUAAUUUUUAAUAUUUAUUUAUUUUUGAGAGAGAGAGAGAGAGAGAGAGAGAGAGCGUGCGCGCAGGGGAGGGACAGAGAGAGAGGGAGACACAGAAUCCGAAGCAGGCUCCAGGCUCCGAGCUAUCAGCAACAAAGCCUGAUGCAGGGCUCGAACCCACGAACUGAGAGAUCAUGACCCAAGCUGAAGUUGGAUGCUCAACCGACUGUACCACCCAGAUGGGGAAACUGAGACCCAGAGAGGCAUAGCGGCUGCUCCAGAUCACUUACCCAGGGUGGCACCAGGAGCUUCCUAACUCCCAAUCUCGUGGUCUUGUGCUCAGUACUCUCACUUCUCCUGUGCUCAGUACUCUACACUCAGUCAGCAGCCUGGGGACUGGAACACAGGCCAGAUGAGGGAGAAGGCAGGAGAGCAAGUGGCUCCGCAGGACAGAGCUGCAACGCUCCGCCCUCCUGGGAGGGGUCACGCUAUCAUCUUUGGCGACCCAUCCCUCCCGGGUGUUUAGCCCUGCGGAUGCAGCCCAGUUUCAGAGCCACGACAAACAUCUUCUCAGCCAUGUGGCCAGAAGGCUGGGCCAAUCGAUCUCCAGCUUCUGGGUGGGAAAACCCAGGUCCGGAGAGGGGCAAUGGUGGCUGGAGGCCUGGGCUCACACGGCAGCUAUGAGCCUGAGCCCCGCUUCAGGUGCCCUUGACUCAAAACUAACCACCUCCUCCUGGUUCUGGGGGAUCUGUAGUCCCGUGAGAAGGAGCUCAGGGCUGGGCUGCCUCUGAAACUCCUGAGUCCAGGGGUAUCUUUUCUUGAGCUACCUAUUCUUUGUUGUUGUUGUUGUUAAUUUUAAGAUUAAGAAAAAAAAGUUUUAUUUAUCUUUUGAGA